CCAGAUCCUGUUCUAGGUGCUGGGGGUAGAGCAGUGACCAAAACAGAAAUAAGUCCAGCCUUCAUGUGGGGAGACAGACAAUAAGCAGGUGGCAGGAAGUCACAAAAUAGUGCACAUCCAGUCCCAACAUCAAUCGUGUGAAAUUUCUGAUAGUUUCAACAGACUAUUGUUUACCAAGCCUCCUAAAUCAAUGAAUGGAGACAACAGGAGGAAUAUUUUAGAUUCUCAGGAAAAUACGUAUUUGUUUUGAAUGCCUCAUGUUUGUGUGGAAUGUUUGUGUUAAAGAGAGAGGUGGGAGCCAAAUUCUGUAAAGCCCUGUCGGCCAUGGUGAGGAAUUUGGCAACUGAAGCAGGGCAGUGACAUGAUCCUAGAAUGGAAGCAGGAGACCAUGAAGAAUGAACUUUCGAACAGCAAUGAACUUGGCAGCAAUGUCACAAAUGGCCUCCAGCAGAGAUGAGCUCCCAGACACAGGAGUAGGGAUGGGGAGCCCCCUGUCAGGGAUGCUGCAGAGUGAAGUUGGACUCGAGGAGGUAUGCUGAGCAAGACGACUUCUAAGAAUCCAACUUCUGACGUUCUCCCCAGGCCAGCCUCCCCUGCCCCAGCCUCACAUCUCUAGCCUGGAUCUCUGCAGUGUCUGCAGAGAGGUGGUGCCAAACCGUCUCCCCGCUCAGAACCUUCUCGGCACACCUACCCUGCUCUGCUUUUUGUCCUUCGGAUUCUUCAUACCCACAGCAAUGCUCUUGAUAAUAAAUUAUUACAAAUGUGCAACAAG